UACGAAGGGGGCUAGCGUUGUUCGGAAUUACUGGGCGUAAAGCGCGCGCAGGCGGUCUUCCAAGUCAGUGGUGAAAGCCCGGAGCUCAACUCCGGAACUGCCAUUGAAACUGUUGGACUUGAGUACGAGAGAGGUGAGUGGAAUUCUCGGUGUAGCAGUGAAAUGCGUAGAUAUCGAGAGGAACACCAGUGGCGAAGGCGAGUCUCUGGACAUUUCCUGACGCUGAGGCACGAAAGCCAGGGGAGCAAACGGG
rnacentral:rRNA from 1 species